rnacentral:lncRNA from 1 species
AAAAAAUGAAUUUUAAAACUCUUACUUCUUAGUUAACAAACAAGAAAGAACAUGAUUUCUGAAAACCAAAAUGGAGCCACCAAAUUUAUUAGAACGAGAACCUAUCUUCUGAUUUCUUGAUGAUCAAGCAAAUAAAUUGUCUAUCAAUUUGACUCGGUCAUUUCAAACACAUUGAAAAGUAACAUAAUCCAUUUGGUAAGAAAUUAUACAUCAAUUGUCAUUUAAGUGAAAUGCAUAACGUCCACAAAGAAACCGUUUCAUCCUAAACGGAUCUCCUAUAAAAAUGUCUGGUUUAUCAACAACAUAUUGGUUGAGUUGAUCGGAAGUCAGCCUUACUGCUCAACUUAAAGAAGAGACACACAAAUAUUACGCAACUUACUGAUAUAGGGCAGAUUUCAUUACACAAAUACGAAAUAUGGUCAACCAUUAAUCUAAAACAUAACACCAAAAAUUACUAGUUACAACAACAAAUGUGACAAAAAAAUAUGUUGGUAGACAAGAAAAAAUGAAUCUAAACAAAAAAAAGUUACACGAAAAAAAAAAAAACUAUCAUUUUCUCCUCGGCAUAAAACUAUAGAAGUAUACAUCUAUUGACCUUAAAUAAACCUAUAGUUAUCCCAUUAUAAUAAAUUUACAGUUCAAAAAUCAGCAACAAAACAAAUGAAGACCAACGUUGGGAAUUUAGAAACAGAAACCCAUCCUUUCUACUAAGAUGCUUUUGAAGAUAUAGUACAUUAAUUGUAUAAUGUGACAUUUCCUAAAACAAAUUAUUAAUUUACUCUUUAGUAGAAACAAUUAUAUAUCCUAAUGAACAAUCAAAAGAAAAAAAAUACCCAACAACUAGAAAACAUAAAAACAUAAUAUAUGUUUGCUAGAAACCCAUAUCGACCAUCAAAAUGUAACAUCUCCAACAACAUCAUACAAAGCAGAUAAAAGAACAUACACACACAAUGUAAGAGCUUAUCCACAUAUACUGGUGAUUCAAGGAUUAUGAACGAUUUUGAACUCAUUAGAGAAUAAAACAUAUGAACCCGACGCGUAACACCGGAAUACCACUAGUUAUUAAUAAAGUUAAGUUGUUAAAAAGGCAAAUAUCCACCCAGAGAUAUAGAAGACAUUUGAGAAAAAUAAAUGCCAACUAAUAAUAGAACAAACAAAAAAUAAGUUUUGUUUAAUUAAAUAAUUUAUCUAAUAGGUCUACCAAAAAAAAUGUAUCUAAUAAUAUAUUAUUUAAUAUCCCCUAUAUAUUAUUUGAGAAGCAUUGCAACAUUUUUU